ACCACACUCAUGAUGGCUGCCUGGCAUUCCUCAACAAAAUGGAGGCUGCCUCACUCACUGUUACCAAGGCUUCAUCCCAGGCCUAACAGGUCUCUGGUCUUCCAUUUUUGGCCAAAGUACUUGCUCAUGCCUUCUGGGACUGGCGGAGUGAAAUGGGGCGAAUCACCACAGGAGGAGUCAAAGACACUGAGGUCCUCUGAGGGAUGCUUACGUCAACCAGCAAGUACCCAAUUGGAAACCUUCACCCAGAGAAACUUUUCAUUGGCCACCCUACAACUGUGGAAUGAUCUGUUGGAAGAUAUCUGAAAGCUAAAUGAGCUGUCAAAAUUUAAGACCCAAUUGAAGACCCAUCUCUUCUGGCAGACCUACUCAGUCAACAUUGAAUCAUGUGUUUUUAAUUUGCAUUCUAUUACUUCAAUAUAUUGAUUUUUGUAUCCUGUGUUUGGUGUAUUUUUAUAAUGGUGUGUUUUUAUCUAUCUUAUUGUAUAUAUUUUAUGUUCAUAUGUUUUGACUUUGUUGUACCCAGCCUCUAGCCAUUAGGAGAGGCAGGUAACAAAUAUAAUGUAUUAUUAUUAUUAUUAUUAUUAUUAUUAUUAUUAUUAUUAUUAUUAUUUAUUGUUGUUGUAUGACACAGCAAACAAGAUAGAUAUGCUGGAUUUUGUUUACUUCAAAUUAUUGCAAAAGCUCCACACUUUCUUCUGGUUGAAUCUGUUCCACCAUUCCAAGUGUUGCUGGAGUCUCUGCUGCUGUCUGUGCUGUGGUCUAAUGGUAAUUUGCUUUGCAGAUUAUCUGGAUUUCUUUGAGUUCAACUUCACUGAACACUUUGUUUCUGAUUAUGAAUCUUCGUUGGUCAGCCAGUCGGGGUUCUGUUAUCUGUGAGUCAGGGUAUUCUUGUUUCCAUAGCUGAUGCAUCCUUUUUUGGUAGCCACGCUUUUGAGGUUCAGAUUUGUAAUAGCAUUUUAUAACUGUGCGGUUUUCUGGCAUUGUAUAUGUCUGCUGCUUCUGUGACUGUUCAUUUGUAUUUUGAUUCCGUAGCCCACUUGUUGAUGGAUGUCCCGAAUCAGCAGCAUCCACCGCGGUCCUUUUUAUCCUGGGCGACGACGCGAGCGAGUAUAGACUUCGUUUUGGUUUGAUUCUCCAUAAUGCUAAUGGGUUAGGUGCUCUUAGUUCCACUCCUCAGCUGAGGCCUCUCUGGCUUGGUUGGACCUGCCGGUAGUUACACUACCGCAAGCACAGCUCUCAGUCAUCAUUGGAGUAGUUAAGCCCCUCCACCACGGCAAGGUGGC